UUUAAAUGGAUUCAACGCCGGAAAAUCACCAGGGGCGACUCCACAUGAAAGCCAAGCUGAUGACUUUGCCCGAUUGGUAAAGAAGUGGUGCAUUGCCGUCGUCAGUUCGUUCCGUAAGGCGUUCUGUUAAAUCAGAUAACGAACCAAACCCUUGCCCAUAAAUGCUACCUACCCUCCGGGGGCAGAGGACUUUAUGGGGACCGCUGGUGCUAAAUCAGAGGAAGGAAAGGGCAACGGUAGGUCAGUAUGCCCCGAAUCCCCUGGGCAACACGCGCGCUACAAAGGCCGGGACAAAGGGUUCCGACCCCGAGAGGGGUAGGCAAUCCCGAAACCCGUCCGUAGUUCGGAUCGAGGGCUGCAACCCGCCCUCGUGAAGUUGGAUUCCGUAGU
rnacentral:rRNA from 1 species